rnacentral:rRNA from 1 species
UACGUAGGGGGCAAGCGUUGUCCGGAAUCAUUGGGCGUAAAGAGCGUGUAGGCGGUUCGGUAAGUCGGCUGUGAAAGCCCUCGGCUCAACCGAGGAAGUGCGCCCGAAACUGCAGAGCUUGAGUACCGGAGAGGAUGGCGGAAUUCCCCAAGUAGAGGUGAAAUUCGUAGAUAUGGGGAGGAACACCGGUGGCGAAGGCGGCCAUCUGGACGGAUACUGACGCUGAGACGCGAAAGCGUGGGGAGCAAACAGG